rnacentral:misc_RNA from 1 species
GAUGAAGAACGUAGCGAAAUGCGAAAAGUAAUGUGAAUUGCAGAAUUCAGUGAACCAUCGAAUCUUUGAACGCACAUUGCGCCCGCUGGCACUCCGGCGGGCACGCCUGUCCGAGCGUCAUUUCAACCCUCAGGCCCCCCUUCGCGGGCGGGCCUGGUGUUGGGGCCCGGCCGCUACCCUGCGGCCGUCCCCUAAAUCCAGUGGCGGCCUCGCCGUGAUCCCUUGCGUAGUAAUGCACCUCGCACCGGAGAGCGCCGUGGCCACGCCGUAAAACCCCCAAUUUUCAAUGGUUGACCUCGGAUCAGGUGGGAAUACCCGCUGAACUUAAGCAUAUCAAUAAGCGGAGGA